ensembl:miRNA Mir547 microRNA 547
GUGUGAUGUAUCACUUCAGGAUGUACCACCCAUUUAAUGGAAAAUAUGAUUGGUACUUCUUUAAGUGAGAUAAUGCACACU